rnacentral:rRNA from 1 species
GACGAACGCUGGCGGCGUGCUUAACACAUGCAAGUCGAACGGAAAGGCCCCUUUGGGGGUCCUCGAGUGGCGCACGGGUGAGUAACACGUGAGUAACCUGCCCUUGACUUCGGGAUAACUUCAGGAAACUGGGGCUAAUACCGGAUAGGAAUCCUUGCUGCAUGGUGGGGGUUGGAAAGCUUCGGCGGUUUUGGAUGGACUCGCGGCUUAUCAGCUUGUUGGUGGGGUAGUGGCUUACCAAGGCUUUGACGGGUAGCCGGCCUGAGAGGGCGACCGGCCACAUUGGGACUGAGAUACGGCCCAGACUCCUACGGGAGGCAGCGGUGGGGAAUAUUGCACAAUGGGCGGAAGCCUGAUGCAGCAACGCCGCGUGCGGGAUGACGGCCUUCUGGUUGUAAACCGCUUUCAGCAGGGGCGAAGCUUGUGGUGACGGUACCUGCAGAAGAAGCACCGGCUAACUACGUG